rnacentral:rRNA from 1 species
AGAGUUUGAUCCUGGCUCAGGAUGAACGCUAGCUACAGGCUUAACACAUGCAAGUCGAGGGGCAGCAUGGUCUUAGCUUGCUAAGGCCGAUGGCGACCGGCGCACGGGUGAGUAACACGUAUCCAACCUGCCGUCUACUCUUGGACAGCCUUCUGAAAGGAAGAUUAAUACAAGAUGGCAUCAUGAGUCCACAUGUUCACAUGAUUAAAGGUAUUCCGGUAGACGAUGGGGAUGCGUUCCAUUAGAUAGUAGGCGGGGUAACGGCCCACCUAGUCGACGAUGGAUAGGGGUUCUGAGAGGAAGGUCCCCCACAUUGGAACUGAGACACGGUCCAAACUCCUACGGGAGGCAGCAGUGAGGAAUAUUGGUCAAUGGGCGCGAGCCUGAACCAGCCAAGUAGCGUGAAGGAUGACUGCCCUACGGGUUGUAAACUUCUUUUAGCAGGGACGAAGAACGUGACGGUACCUGCAGAAAAAGCAACGGCUAACUACGUGCCAGCAGCCGCGGUAAUACGUAGGUUGCAAGCGUUGUCCGGAUUUACUGGGUGUAAAGGGCGUGUAGGCGGAGAUGCAAGUUAGGAGUGAAAUCCAUGGGCUCAACCCAUGAACUGCUUCUAAAACUGUAUCCCUUGAGUAUCGGAGAGGCAAGCGGAAUUCCUAGUGUAGCGGUGAAAUGCGUAGAUAUUAGGAGGAACACCAGUGGCGAAGGCGGCUUGCUGGACGACAACUGACGCUGAGGCGCGAAAGCGUGGGGAGCAAACAGGAUUAGAUACCCUGGUAGUCCACGCUGUAAACGAUGAAUACUAGGUGUGGGAGGACUGACCCCUUCCGUGCCGCAGUUAACACAAUAAGUAUUCCACCUGGGGAGUACGACCGCAAGGUUGAAACUCAAAGGAAUUGACGGGGGCCCGCACAAGCAGUGGAUUAUGUGGUUUAAUUCGACGCGACGCGAAGAACCUUACCAGGAUUUGACAUCCAACUAACGAAGUAGAGAUACAUUAGGUGCCCUUCGGGGAAAGUUGAGACAGGUGGUGCAUGGUUGUCGUCAGCUCGUGUCGUGAGAUGUUGGGUUAAGUCCCGCAACGAGCGCAACCCCUAUUGUUAGUUGCUACGCAAGAGCACUCUAGCGAGACUGCCGUUGACAAAACGGAGGAAGGCGGGGACGACGUCAAAUCAUCAUGCCCCUUAUGUCCUGGGCUACACACGUAAUACAAUGGUGGUUAACAGAGGGAAGCAAGACAGUGAUGUGGAGCAAAUCCCUAAAAGCCAUCUCAGUUCGGAUUGCAGGCUGCAACUCGCCUGCAUGAAGCUGGAAUUGCUAGUAAUCGCGGAUCAGCAUGCCGCGGUGAAUACGUUCCCGGGCCUUGCACUCACCGCCCGUCAAG